GUUUCAAAGGCUGGUGUAAGGAGAUGGCCCACAGAGAUGGCCUCAUUCCCUCCUAAGAAAGGAUAUUCAGGGAGAAAGGAGAUUAUUUCUCCCUCUCACACAGCUUAAGGAUCCGCAGAAAAUGUUCACUCUGGUGAAGGAACGUUGCUGACCUACUCCUUGAUUUCCCUGCCAGCCUGGAGCCUUUCAGUCGCCUUGCCCCGGCGGUGCUGGUGCGCUACCGUGGUGGCACAGCGUGGGCAGGGGCUGGCAGGGCCGGGAGGGCAGCGGUGUCCAUGCGCUGCCAACUGCUCCGACCACAUCCCUCAGCACUCCCCAGAGCUCCACCGAGUCACCACAGCUGCAUUCAGCUUCCUCCUGCUCUGCUCUGUUUAUCCAGAGCUGUGCCUGUUUACAGGCUCACGAAAAAUCAUCAGAAGAAAACACUUGGGCCUUACUUCUGAACUCUAAUGCAAUAAUGCUGCUCCUCACAGAUGCAUACCGCCUUUCUUUUGACAAUUUCCAGAAGAACCAUGGUUUUAUACUUGAAAAAUAAUCCUGAAAUUCUUUAUUUUAAUUAGGAGAGUCAUCAUAAGGAGAACAUGAAGUGCCAGAAACUUUAUCUGUGUGCUAAGCUACAUUCUGCUGCUGAUUUAUUUAUAUGAUGGACUGUCUUUAUUUAGCUGAUAAUUUUGUCCUUUAUCCAGUCUUAAAAAAUCUGCUGUUUUUCUAAGAGGUUCUGCACCAAAAAAGAUUUUUGUUUUGGUUUGAAGCAGGUAAAUGCAUAAUUGCUUUAAUAAAUAACAUUUAAUUAGUCAAAAACCAAAUAAUCUACAACUAAUUUUUCUGAAUGAUAGCAUCUUGUAACCUGUGGUGUCAUCUGGGGAGCUAUAGGUUCAGCAGUAUUUUAAGAUGUUUAAAAAUUCCCAGUAAAAUAUAGACCAAAAUAUUCUCAAUAGAAAAAAAACGUAAGAGUUAUAAAUAAAAGUUAUAAAAAGAGUUAUAAAAAGAGUUAUAAAACACAAAUAGAUUUCAAAGAAAAAAUAAUCUUUUCUGAACUCAACCUGUGCAAAAAUCCAGCCACAUUUCAUAUUUUCAUUUCAAGUUGCAAACUCAGUACAAGGAUGAAGAAAAUUAAAAGAAAAUGCAAAUAUAAGAGAUAUUAAAUAUAUAAUGCAAAAGAAAAUUAAGAUAAAAUACAUUAUUAACUGAAAAUUUGUCGCUUCCACAAUUCACAUAGCAGUUUAAAGUAAAAUCUCAACUAAAAUGUUUUAAAAAGUUUUAGUGAUGUUUUCUGUCAUUGAGAUCACAAACAGGAAUUAGAAACUAAUCUUUGAAAAGAUUUACUUAUAGCGAACUGUAUAAUAGAGUGAUAAUUUUACUGAAAGAUUUAACUUCUCCUGUGUUUUUCUCUAAUUCUUUAUCUAGAGCUGUAAUGAAUAGGAUAAAAUAACUGAUAGUGAGAGUUGUAGUAAAACAUGUCUGCAUGAUAUUGAUAGACUAAAAAGUGAAAAAAAAAAGCUACUGGAAAAUGUGGGAAAAGAUCCAUGCCAGAAUCCUCUUGGGUUUGCCAUUUUAAUUGUGCUCUUGGGUAUGUAGUUUUCAAGAUUUUCUUCAGUUGUGGCAUUGAAGGAAAAGUAAAAUGAAGUGACAGAACAGAUUAGAAGGCGAUAAUGGAAGGGAAAGUGAAUAAACCAAGUGUAAACUUUUGAGAGGAAACACUAGUGUAAAGCCCACUAGUUAUGUGCUAUUUUGAAAAAAAUUUUGUAACUCCAACACUUUGAUGAAGAUGACAAAUGAACUUUUUUAUUAAGUAGUGAUACAUAUUCAAGAGUAAAUAUGAACAUGUUACCAAAACAUCCUUUUUCAAGGGGCAGGUUCUUUGAAGUUACUACAAAUCUUUGCUAUUUAUAUUAAAAUUUCACAAUAAGUUUAUUCUGAAGAAAAUACUCUACUGCUAUUCAGAUGCUUACACGAAUUCUAUUGAACUAUGAUAUGCUAUUUAUGAAUGGAAUUCUUGUUAAUUUUGGCAUAUAUAAUUAAUUUAAUUAUGGAAAGCAUAUAAUUAAAACAAAGUAUAGCCAUAAUAAAUGUUAAGAGUUUUUUUGGUAGCAAAAAAACCAAAUGCAAAGUAGUAUAUUAUGAUGUUUGAUGUAACUCCCUAUCAGCAACAAAAUUCCUUGAAAAACUCUGAACAAUGCACUUUUUUUUAAAACUUUGUCAAGCUUAUUAGCUUGCUAAAGAUCUGAUCAUUAAGAGUUUAGAUUGUUUCUCUGUUAAAUCAGAUAUGCCUCCUACAAUUUUUACAAUGCUUCCUUUAUAAAUUAAUUGUUCUUCAGUUAUUUGUUAAAGAAUCUCCCCCACGUGAAAAAGCAAAAUCUCAGUAGAUGCGGAUUUUACACUGCACUAGAUCAAUCCCAAUACCAGUAAAUGGAUAUUAUUAAACAGCAUGGGGUAGUGCAAACUGGGAAAGAAAACUUGUAGUGUGCUGCCUUUGAGCAGACCUGGCUUGCAUGCUGUGACAGGGCAAUUGUCGACAUGCUUUUUCAUGCCAAUCUGCAGCUUUUUCAACUCUAGAUGCUAUGGCAACCAGGGUUUAACAGACUAAGCAGCUAACAAGCUUCCCUGAUGGAAUUGUCUGGUUGUAUGAUUGCCUUGUCUUAGUGAAAAUAUAAAAUAGACUAAAGACACUUGUGGACAUUUGUCAAACUGAUUAUAAUCUGGACACUCAGCUCAUAAUUAUCUGUUAUGUAUUGCAUAGUAUUGACCGUCAGUGUUUUCCAUGAUGUCUGUAGAGAACCCAAGUGUCUUUCUGUGCACCCUGUUUCCUGUGGAAUGAACGGGUUUUGGUUAGGCUGAGUUGGUCAACAUAGCAGUUAAAAUUACAUGGAUAUAGGAAAUAAAUGCCAUUAGUUUAAAGGUUUCUUCCCCCUCUUUCUCUGUUUGUUUCUUUUUUGUUUUGUUCUGGUUUUUUUUUUUUUUUAGUUUGCUAUAAAAAUAAAAGAAAGGAAACAAAAGAAAAUUUUAAAGUAACACUAUUCUUUACAAUCAUAAAAUUGGAAAAAAAAAGACAUUUUCAGGAAAUGGUUUUAAAAAUCUGUAAGUUUCUUUAUCAGGUAGUUGAGUCUUUUUUGGCCCCAAGGAAUGGUUUGUGUUUUUUACUUGCUUGUUUGUUAUUUUUUAAUUUAUUCUCAGAAGAAAAGGGCAUUCACCAUAAAAUACGGGCCUAAGACUACAUGUUUCCCAGCACCUUUUACAAGCUGAAAUCUGUGGAGCUCAUUACUUUGCAAAGACUGCUUGGCCACUUGUAGAACACUGGUUUAUUGUUUUGAAUCUCUUUCAAUUCUAUUGAAAGCUAAGCAGAAUGUUUUUACUGCGGUAUUUUCUUGUUGUUAUUGAUUGGUUGGUUGUUUGAUUUGUUUGUUUGCUUUUGUCCUGAGGUGAGAAAUUCAGAUUUCAUAUUUUUCUAUGUGGAUUUUUUUUGCGGCAUUUUUACUCAUACUGCAUUUUGGGAUGAACCUUAGCAGGCUACAAGAAGACCCAUAGGAUGCAGGUAAAGUCUGAGUUCACAAGUGGGACUUUUGUCUUUGGCAGUUUGACUCUUGAAGUUAUAUCACUGCAGAUGGUCCUGACUAAGGGUAUCCUCUCAGUGAUAUUAUUUUAGGGAUGUUGUCUGCUACUGUACCUCUGUGAGGCCAGCAAAUACCCAGCUAAUUAGGCCAGCUAAUUCAUUCUUUCCUAUAGGCAGUGGAAUUCCUUAUCCAGUUGUGCAGGUUGUCCUCAAGGCCUCAUGAGUGAAUGUUACAAAGGUGAAGUGUUUUUUUCAUGAAGGAGAAGGUGAAUGUCAUGGACAGGCUAUUUGCAAUCCGGCAUUCUUCUUGCAAAUAUGAAGAGUUCCAAUACAAUAUACAAUUCCAAGGUGAAAGAACAGUAUAUUGUUAAGUGAGCAAGGAAAAAUACCUAACAAAGUUUUAUUUACUGAAUGUAUAGACUUGUUAAAUGUUCUGAUAUUUAAGAUUCUGAAUUCAUGUGUGGUUCAUAAGUAUGCCCACGUGCUCAAGAAGGAGAUUGGCAUCCUGGCCUUUAUCAGCCAUAAUGGGGCCAGCAGGGCCAGGGCAGUGAUUGUCCCCCUGUACUCAGCGCUGGUGAAGCCACACCUCGAGACCUGUGUUUGGUUCUGGGCCCCUUACUACAUGAGAGACAUUGAGACAUGAUCAUGAACAGAGAAGGGCAAUGGAGUUGGGGAGUGGUCUAGAGACUAAGCCACAGGAGGAGUGGCUGAGGGAGCUGGGGCUGCUUAACCUGGAGAAAAGGAGGUGCAGGAGAGACCUUAUUGGUCUCUACAACUGCCUGAUAAGAGGCUGUAGUGAGGUGGAGGUUGGCCUCUUCCCCCAGGCAGCUAGUGAUAAGACAGAGGAAAUGGCCUCAAGCAGCUUUAGGGGAGGUUCAGGUUUGAUGUUGGGAAGAAUUUCUUCACUGAAAGGGUGGGUAAGCAUUGAAACAGGCCAUCCAGGGAAGUGGUGGAGUCACUGUGUGUGGAAGUGUUCAAUAAAUGUUUGGGUGUGGCACUUAGUGCUAUUGUGGUGUUUGGUCAAAAGUUGGGCUCAAUCAUCUUGAAAGUCUUUUCCAACCAAAAUGGCUCUGUGACUUUACAACUGUUAGUUUCUGUUUCCAGUUCGUACUGAUGAAGAGUCAAAAAUGCAUCUUUGAUAACAGGGCAUCUGUAAAAGGCUUAGUCUUUUGCUCUUCCAGCUUCGGAAACCUUCAAAGAACAACUUUCUGUAUAGCUUUAGAGACAUCCAACAAAAGCCAAUACCUUCUUUUAAGCAACCCAUUAGAUUUCUACCCAGUUGGCAAGAAAGAUAAGGCCAUAGUCUUUGCUUGAUUGUAUAAACCCCAAACCAACCUUUGUAAGCUACUCUUCCAAAGAAUCACUGUGUUCAUCAUAAGUUUUAUGUUUUUUUCAUAUAAAUAUUUUGGCUUGACAUAAUAUUGUGUGAUAAAAUUUAUUUAUAUUUUACAUCUUCAGUUGCACAGACUUUGAAAUGUUUUGCAAAAGGACUUUUCUUGUUUUUGUUGACUGAAUGGGAAAAAUAUCAUGGUGUCAAUACUCCAGUGUCCAAAUAAUUAACUUUGGCUGUGGGAAGCAGUAACUGUGACCUGUGGCGCCUUUGGUCACUGUCUCAUAUAUGGGACUUCCAGGUCUCAGCCACCAUCUAGCCAUAGUGCAAGUCAUUAGCCUCUUUUUGGCCAUCUGACUUGGUGCAUGCACCAUUCAUACUAUUUGAAGUUCACUGCACCUUAAAACAGAAAAUACAAGUUUGCCAGUUACAGGAAAUCUUUUUUCAUUAGUUCAAAUCAAAGAUUCCAAUUAAAAAGAGGUGUCAAGAAAAUUUUAAAAAAUUACCCCAAGCUCUCAGUCACUGUAGGUGUGAUUUACACCCUUCUCCAAGUGUCCUUGCUAAUGGCAGUGGGUUGGAACUAUAUGAUCUUUGAUGGCCCUUCAAUUCCAAACCAUUAAAUAAUUCUGUGAUUGUUUUUUCCUUCCUAUUAAUGUACACAUUGAGACUGCAUAUAGCUGACUCUUGUCUUUGAAAAUCAGAUUGUCAGGAGGCAAAAAAAUUCCCAAAUUAUUUGUUUUUCUAUUUUUUUUUCCUGGACAUCCUGUUUUAAAACAAAAUUAAACAGAAAACCAUUGCUUUUGGUCCUGUCAGCAUGACUAGAGGUCUGGCAGAUUUUGAACUGUGAUGACACUUCAUCUUUCUGUGAAUAUUUACCUAUUUAGUCUUAGAAGAAUGUGAUAUUAAAUUUUCUAACUAUAUUUGCAUAUAGAAUUUACCUAUAGAAAACACAGAUUUGUCUUAAAGGAAAAGCUGAAAGGACAUCAAAGAAACAGAAGGUCCUGUAAUGUACUCCUAAAAAACAUCACCAAAAAGCAUUUAGAACACUGGAAAAAUGAGAAACACAUCAGGAAGUCAUAAUCAACAUACAAGGAAACAUCUCCAAUAUAUUACAAUAGAACAAAAACUUUUUUUUUAAUUGAACACUAAGGAUUUUCCUGUUAAACUGAGAUAAUAUUGAAGCUGAGGACUGUCUGCUACAAGUUUCCUUUAUAUAAACAUAAAGAUAGAAAAAACUUGACUAAAACCUAAAUAAAGAAGUGUAGCAUCAGAACAUAACUGCCAGUGAUCAGAAUAAAGCAGUUAAUAAUGUAUAUUGCCUUAACUUCUGUCAUUAAUAUAGUGGGACUGGCUAAUAUUAUCUUCAUAUAAUCCAACUCUGCUCUAGGAUCUAUUCAAUUUUUAUGGCAUUCAAGUAGUACAACAAAGAAAUGUGAAAAGAAUUCCCAGUAAAUGUUCUUCACUAAAAAGCAAUCAGCCCAUCCCUAUAUAUAGAAAAAGAAGUAGUAUCUUUUAAAAGAAAAUUUCAGUCAGGACAAAAAUUGAAUUUUUGGUAUGUAACUUAUUCUUAUAAUGCCUGAAUUGCUAAAAUAAAAGGGAAAGCAUUUUAAAGAAUCUAACAUUUUCAAAUUAUAGAUGAGACUAACAUUUUUUUCUUCUAUCCAGCUGUGUUGAAUCUCAAGUUCUGUGCCUUAUUCUAAAAAGGUUAAUGCCUGUUUAGAAUAUAUAUAGCUGACUGGACAUUAUUAUAUGAAUAAUAUAUAUAUAAUAAAAAUGUUAGUUUAUAUAUAUAAACUUGCAGAUAAAUGUACAUAUAAAGCCUUAAAAAAGUCACCAAACACUAAAGACAAGCUGACCAUUUAUAUCUUUCUAAUUAGAUAUUAGAAUAUUUUGUCAUUUUAAGUGUAUCCAUGUAUGCAUUAAUAUAUGAAUACAUACUAAUUAUGCUGGUUUUUUUUUCAUAGUGUACAAAUAGAUUUUUACUUUGUGAUCAGAUUUCUGAUCUUUGCAAUAGGGAUAAAGGCGCUAACAAAUGGAUUUCAAUUGCUAAUUUUGAACUGAAAACACUGCUUCAUCCAAGUUACUUCAUUUCCCCUGUGAUAUCCACAUAAUUCUGAUUUCCAUAUUUUGCCUUUACCUGCCUGCUUAGUGACUUAAUGAAUAGCUGUUUCUCAUGCUAGAAUUAAAAGAGUUAACUUUUGCAGAGAAAAGAUAGUGUCAGUACUUAUUUUGCUUGAAAUGCUGGCAAUAUAAAAAAAAAAACCAGUAGCAAUGGAAUGUGUCCUGUGCAUUGUAUAAGAGAGAGUAAUGCUUCUUUAUUAUGAAAGAACAUUAAAAGGCUUUUCUACAAAGGUUUGGCUUCUAUAAAAGAGUCAUUUUCAGGAGCUUGAAAUGGUUGGCUGAAGCACACAUCAAUUUGUUUGCUAUUUCUAGAAUAUAUUUUAUCAACACCUUUUCUCUACAAUUUACAUUUUUCAAAAUGUCACUGUUUCUGUGUGAGAUACUAAGUAUGGACCAAUUAACUAUUGAUGCGUUCUGCCAAGAAAAAAUGUUGCGAUAUAGCAUAUAUACAGGACAGAAUAAAUAUUCUAUGAUGGAAACGUGGAAAUUACAGGCUACUGGUGAGUAAUGCAUCUUGAAUAUUACCUGAAGCCAUGAGUCAGAUGCUAAUUAUUAAUGUAGAAUCUGUUAUAGAAAUAGUUGAAAUUGGGGAGAAAAAAAAGAACACAAAGUCAUCUAACAUUUUAGUUUUUAUCAUUUCUAGAGGAAAAAACCAUCUUACCUAACCUGUUUUGAAAAUGUAUUCAGCUAGGAAAAUUUUUAAAUUUGGUUUAUACAGCCAGAAUGGUUUCAGCACAAUCAGACUAAAAGCCUCUUAAAAAAUCUCUACACAGAAGGAAGUGUCUGAAAAAGUUAAAUCUUCUCUGAAGCGACACUGAGGCUACUCUAUCCAGGUGAGGAUGUGAUAGAAAAAAGAAAUGGGCUUUUAGAAAGUAUCUUAUAAUCAAAAGUAUUUAUUGUCCUUUUUAAGUGGUCUGGAGAGAAGUCCUCUGGAGCCCUUCAGGUUUUUUUUUUUUCUGGUGACUCUAAAGUAGGGACUGAGGAAUGCCAGAACAUCUCAUGCUGAAGGCAGUUCAUAGGUACUUGCUGGUGGUUCCUAUGUUCCCCGUUCUUAGAUAACUGGCUAUUAGUCCAGAAAUCAUGGGGUUUGGCAGUAACUCAAAUACUAGUAGCUACAUAUUGGUAGAGAAUGGUUGGGCAGAAAGUGAUUCUUCUUAAAAAAUUACUUUGGGUAAAUUUUAGUUAUUGUCACCAGUUUUUGAAACCACCAUGUGGUAUCACUAGAUGAUGAGUCAAUCUAUAGUAAUUUAAAAAAGAGUAAAUUUUUAUGGCAGCUGUAUCUGUAUGUUAUUUCAUUUCAAAAUGAGGAAAUGCCUCUGUAAAUACACACCCAUUAAAAGUGGUCAAGAUUAGAAGCCUUAUAUAACCUUAAGGUAGCUGCUGGGUCUCAAGAACCUCUGUAGGAAACGGAAAAAGAAAGUGGGAGAUUGUAGUUACAUAUAUUUUUUUCCCAGAGCUGAAGUUUCUGAGGUCUUAGUCUCCUGACAAUCACAAAGAUGAGAUGUAGCCAUAAGUGCAAUCUUAUGCUGCCAGAAUCCAUGACACGAGCUGGCUGCAUCAAAGGAAGAGAUUCUUUUAGAGUGAGUGACUAUUAAGGAAUUUGGGUGAUGACAUGUAAUCUUUCACAAAGAUGCUUAUUGAAAAACUGUCCCUCAUAUAGGCACAACCACUUCUGAAGAUCCUUGUCUUCAGCCCACUUCAGUAAAAUUCAGAACUCCUGCCUGUGCUCAGUUGCAUAUUUUGUCCUAUAGGACAAUUUGUGGGAGUAAACCACCAAGGCUAUGUUCAUUCAUAUAAGUAAGCAUGGUUUUGAAAGAUAAAACCUUUUUUCAUGUGGGUAAAGCAGCACAUGUUUGCACAUGAUUGGUUUCUCUGAAAAGACAACUCCACUUUCUCCCGUCACAUUUGGACACACUUCUGCAGGCUUUACCCCUAUUCAAGAAGUUUUAAAUAAUGUUUCAUUAGGUAAAAACAUCUGAGGAUAAAUGGGUAGCGACAUGUCAGACUGUUUACCUCUUGUUUGGAAUAUCUACUUCAACCAUUUCUUUGGUGAGCCCUAAGUUCUAUUUUAUACUUUGCAGACUUGAAUUUCAUGGUGUUUGAGUAUAGCAGAACUGCAAUAUUAAUUGAAAUAUUCACUUUGGAUAAAUGUUUGAACUAGUCUUCUAGAUACUGUGUGUUUUGAAAGUUAAGUGGACAGAAUUUUAAAAAUAGUUGUGCUGCCAUCAGAACUCCUUUCUCCUGUACAGAGACCUUCUAUUACUAUUGGGUAAUGAUGUAUAUAACAUAAUACAUUAAUGUUGCUUUAAUGUGUUCAAUUGUACAGAAGAAUGUAGUAAUUAGGCAGUAAGGCAUUCUUUUUACUAUGACUUGAUGAGGUGGUCAAUUACCUGUGCUAUAUGACAGCAAGUGGUACUAUUGGUUUAACUUAAUAAGUACAUUGACAAAAACGGCCACUGUGAUGUACAUUAGUUGCGCUUAAAAGGUUCCUUUGAGUUAUUACCAAAGUAAUACCUCAAAUAUAAAUUAAUUUAAUUUGUUUAGAACAGUUUACACUUUACACAUCAUUAAAUCUUUUUCUAUAGCAGAUUGUACAAUACAUUAGGUAAAUUAUAAAUUUCUAACCAAAAAGUGAAAAUUUGACCAUAAUGGCUACUUAGAAAAGAUAAAAGGUAACAGUUUAAGCAGAACUUGCCUUUAACUGAAGCUCUUAAACUAAGGUUGAUAGAAAACAGUUUUUGAGAAGAAGUAAUGAAUACCGAUUUAUAUAAAAUGCUGUUCACUGUAUUUUCCUUUUUGUAUUAAACUUAAUGAAUAGAUAUACCUUUUUUUAUUUUGUGGUACCCUACCAUUAAAUGAUACCAUAUUUUUUUUCCUGCCUAAAUAAAUUCUAAUUCUUGUCACCUACUAUCUGUACAGGAAGAUUUGAGACAUUAUUCCUAAUUGAGAUUUUUACUGAAUAUCUUUUAAAGAUAAAUUUGUUUUAUUCUUUCACCCACUAUUUAAAAGGAUUUUUCACAUUUUUAUCUUCUAAAGGAAUUGUCAAUGAGAAACUAAAACUGCAUAGACUAUACAUUAAAAUCACUUUAGUUUUUAAGCUGUCAUGAACUGUUUCAAAAAAUGCUAAGUUGCUAUUGUUUAAUGUCUGUCAUUUUAUAAUGCUUUAGAAGUUAUCUAUCCUGUAAAAUUAUUAACUGAUGCUAAAAUUGCCUUGUAAGUAUUAGGACAAUAGCAAUUUUGUAACAGCUGGGACACUGCCAAUGUAAGAUAAGUACAUUUUGCUCUGUAGAUUCAUAAAGUGCUUUGAAAUGGUUUGUAACUGAUGGAUGGAUGCAUUUUCUAAGUGUAGAAAGCAAUAUUUUGUAGAGGGAAAUGGCUUGAAAGCUGACACACAUGCAUGCAAAUGCCAUUCUCUUCAGUAAGUAAUUUGCUUUUUCUUUCAAAAGCAUAAAUGGCAUAGUUAGACACAUUAUUUUGUAUAUUGCACAUAACAAUACAAGAUGCACAAAAACAGCAAGUACAAAACAUUUCAUAUUGAUAGAGGAACCCAUGGCUGUAGUAUAUGAUUAGCAUAAAUGUAUACACACUGAAGAAAUGCCUUCAGGAUUAAAAAGUAAGGCUGAAAACAGGAAAAGUUCUUCUAACUUCAAGAAAUGAAAAUAUUUAAAAUAUACUUUUUAGACCUAGAGUUGUGCCUUUUAAAAAUUAAGCUGCAUAGAGCCUGAACCAGAUCAUAUGCUCAGUAUUGCAUGUGACCCAAUGGCCCCAUAUUGGGAUUUCAUUCUGAAGACAAAAUAUUUCAAUUAAUCCUCAAAGUGUUUGUAUGUCAGUGACAAAACCCAGGAGAAUACUACUCUGGAAUAUAUGUAGGCAUGGAUAUUCUUAUAAUUUAAGAACAUUUUAAUGCCAAAAUUGAUUUCUGAUUUAUAUAAUUGUUUCCUAUUUUGGUUUAUAUAAUUGUAUUGUUUAGGUCAUCCGCAUUGUAAAACUCACACUAGCCAUGAAAACUUCUGGCCAGCUUUCAUAAUGAUCUUUCAUGUAAACCUGAUGCUUUAGGUCCUUGCUCUUGGAAAUUUCCAUGCCCACUCAGCUAUCCAACGCUGAUGAAUACCAGCUUCACUGAGCAACUGAGAAUAACACAGCUAAGCCUAUACUGAGUAAGUGAAAUCUUAGUCUAGAAAAUGGUCCCCAAUGAAAUCUUUGGAAUAUCAACUUCAGCAGGUCUACUCAAUAUAAUUAGUGUCAACAUAUGGCCUUUUUGUUUAAAGGAAGGAACAUUUCCUUCACAGAAUCUUGUUAAAUCUCUCAUUCUACAAUUAUUGUAAUCAUGACCUCUAUUGUUCAUAAUUUCCACUAAAAUUUUUGCUUCUACAUCAGCUUCUUAAGAUAUAUAUUCCCAUUAGAUACAAAACAGCCAUUAAUCUUAAUGGAAGCUAUGCUCAGAAAUGGAGUGGAAAAGGCACCCAGGAGGUUUUGUCAUAUCUUUAAAUUCAGGAACAAAAAAAUUGAUUUGAGUGAAAUUCUGAUAAUGAAUGCACAUUGUUGAAGAAUUAAAAUCUAAAAUAUAUUUACAUACCUUCUGAAUUUAUAUUAAGAAGGAUUGAAACAAUACUUCUACUGGAUUAUGUGGCAGAAUUCAUGCUGAUUUCAUCCUAAGAAAAGCUGCUCAUUUUUUUAUACUGUAGGAAACUGAGUAGGGUGAAUAGCUCAUAAGAACAGCUUAUCUGACAAUCUGGGUCUUAAUAUGCUUGAUCCUUGCUUGUGAACAGAUGAUAUUAUUUUAAGAAGUAUACAGUCUUUUUUACAAUAUAAACCCAUUUUAUUUAUUGUUUGUCCCACAACUUUAUAUUUAAAAUUCAAACUUGGAACAGAAAAGUUUGUUAUUUACCACAUGGCUUUCACUCUUUUUCUGAACUUGAUAUCUGUAAAAUGCAUGAAAAAAACCCUUGAAAAUGAUUCCUUUUUCUUGGUAAUAAGCUCUUUAAAAGCAUCCUGAAGAUUGUUUAUGUUUUUGAAGUAUUUGAAAAUCUCUUUUUAGAAUUAAUUGUCAGGUUUUUGAUUGUAAAAUUGUUGGCAACAUUAUAACACAAUGACUGAUAAAAAGAAUAAACCCACAAUCAAAAUAAAAAAAUCACUCAUGAUUAUUGUCCUUCAGAAGACAUUGUUAUCCCUAUGUGUAUUAAAAUAGAAUAAAAUUAUUAAUAAUAGGAAUAUUUUGUUUUUAAUGGAAAAUCCUGAUUGCAGUUCUUUAGAAGAUUGUCAUAAUACCUCUUUGUUUUGAAGGGUCAGUUUGUAGAAGGAAACGUGAGAAAAACAUUUAAUCAGAAACUGGCAAACAGUCAGUGGACUGGCAAGAAUUUGAUGGUAAACAAUACUUCUCCAUAAAAUUGCCAGAUUGAAAGGAUCUGAUGACUCCCACUUCUAGGAGCUACUUGGAAGAGUCACAACUAUUUUCAUAUGCAUGUGUUUUUAGAAACAAGUUGCCAAAAAGAAUCACAAAUAUCAAUUUACGAGAGUAGGUUAGGUGUUUAUCUGUAUUGUAUCUGCCCUAAGGAGAAAUUUCAGUACAUGGGGUAUGUUUGUCACUUGAGAUUAUGGCUAUAACGCACAAAACCUUCUGCUAUUUUGAUAGCUGCCGUGACUGGAGUCCAUAGGUUGAAACUGAGCCUUGGAAGACCAUAUUUUUUUUUUAAAUCUAUAAUAUAUGCAACCUUUGAAACUACCAGAGAUGAGUUGAAAAUACAACGGAUUCAAUAACUCAAUAAACUGAAGAAAAGUAUUGUAUUUGCAUUGUAUUACAGGUUGACUAACAUUAUAGUUUUCCUGAAAGCAGUAUUUAAAUAAAAUGAUAUGUGGUUUUGCUUUGCAAAAAAAUAAGUAAUUUGUUUGUUUUUGGAAAAAAAUUAAAAUUAUGUGCUUUUGGGGAAAAAUACAUGAGAAAAUGAAAACCAAAGGCAUUGUAAAUACUGCUUUUACAAGCUGCACUUUGAAGUUUUCUUUUCUUUAAGUGAAAGUAUAAUUAAUUACUAAGAAAAUGAGAAAAAUGUUUUCAUUAUUUUUUUUUCCAUUUCUCUUAUGUUUUCCUUAAAUUGUAUCACAUAAUUUCCCUGCAUGUUAAAAUCAUUCUUUGUAAAAAAAACACAGAGAAAAAAAAACCCUCCCUAAACCAGGUAAAAAAUUAAAGUCUUGAUUUCCCCACUUUGUCAUUCUUCUAGAAAUUAUGUGUGUGUGUGUGUGUGCACUGCACACAACCUUGUGUCAGUCCUAUUGCUAAGCAAUAAACAUAAAAAAGUUCUUUAGGAACCAACUGUUCUUAAUGUUAUUUAAAAAUUAUGCUAAAGCAUUUGUGAAUAACAUGAAAUCAGAUUAUGUUUUAUUUGAAGAAAUAAGUAAUAUGAACAAAUAUUUUGAGUACUGUUUUCCCAGAGUGUGCAUAUUGACAGUGUUUAGUUACCAUAUGCAGUACAGUGCAGGAAAAGUACAUCUUUGGUUUUAAGAUGAUGAAACUACUACUUCAUUAAAUAAUGCUAAUUAGAGGGAGAAACUAGACAUCACACUGGAGACAAAAGCAAUUCUGUUGUCCCAGCUUUCCAAUCAAAACCACUGGAAAUUCUUUUUCUUAAUCUCAUAAGGAGCUUGAAAUAUCUGUAUACUGCAAGAGCCUUCAGACUCCUAAACUGGGAUUUUUUUAGAGCAGCAUAAUGUUUGGAUUAAAACUCCCUUUGUAUCUUUUGAAAAAAGAAGAAAAAGUGUCCUAAUGGAAAUAGUAUAAAUAACUGAGACACACUGUGCCUUUGGGAAAAAACUGUUUAUGAAGAAAAUGCUUAGUGAGAGUUUGGCCAUGAUUUAGGCACUACUUUCAAUUCUUCAGUUUGGCCUAUUGUGAAGCAGGUGGGAUCAUUUUCUUCAAUACAGUUUCUGCAAUUCCAUCUCACUGUUAUUUUAGCUCGUAAUUAGGUGUCAAGCAUUCUGAGCAGGUUAUACAGAAUAUAUACACUAGUGAUUUGAAUAGGUUUUAUGUACUCUAGCUAUCAAGACACAUUAACCUUUAAUCAUAACAAGGCCUGGAGUCAAAAGAAACUUGGUGAGAGGUUCAAAACCAUAGCUUGCCACACUCAUAAGUCCAUCAUUCCCAAUUUGCUACUUUCAGGCUGUGACUCAAUAGCUAGUAUUAUAAGACUGAGAUGAAACAGUAAGGUAGUUGUAAAUAAAUCAUUACACCCAAAAUGUUUUAUUUUCAGAAUGCAAUGGUCCUGGCAACAAAAAGAUUUACUUCCAGUGAAUCACUGGCAGGUACUUUCACAUUCUAAAAUUAUAAAAUAUGUGAGAUUCUGGCAGGUUCACUUAUCUCCUCAAAAUGUCUUUUAUAAAAUUUUACACAUCUGUCAUACUUUUUAUCAACUUCUUUUUUUUUUUUUUUUUAAACCAUUUUGCAUGUAUUAAGGAAUUGAGUAUGAGCAUUCUCUAAACAGGUCAAUGCCUAAUGUCAUCAUCUUUUUUACAAGACAGAGAAGAAGACAAAGGUUCAGUGCUGGUUAUUUAUGCACCGUCUGUGAAAUGGUGAACCCCUUUAUCUUCUAUUAAUUUAUAUAUAUGCAUUGACAUGUAUGCAUUCAUAUAUGCAUAUAUGAUAUGUAAUACAUUCAUACAUAUGUAUUGACCUAAAUUAAGAUUGAGACGGGUCUUAUUCACGAUUAAAUAAGACAUCAGUGAUAUAGUUCUGAUAUAGUCUGUGCUGGUAUAGUCUAGACAUUUGAGGCAGUAGGAACCACUUACCUUUUGUAGUAAGGCAGAAAGAGUUCAGAGGUUGCUUAGAAGUUUCUCUAACUUAAGAUAAUGAAUAAAAUAAAGAGCUUGUACUCUUUCAUUGGCUCAGCCAUUAUUAGAGGCAAUAGACCACCUUGUGAUUGCUUUGCAGGAGACUGUGAACUUUAUGGGAUAUAAAGACACAAAACAGAACAAGUUUUUCAAGGCUUUUCUGAGCUUGUCAGGAAAACCAGCUUGUCUGGGUCUUCACAUACAAAAAUUUCCUUCCUUUCCUUCCUUCCUUUCCUUCCUCUCUCCCACCUGCCCUCCCUCCCAAUGCCUGUUUUUUUCCCUUGCUACUUUUAAAUGUACUUAUUUGCUAUUUCACUCCUUGGUCAGCUAUUUUCAUUCUGGCUGCUUAAAAUUUCAGACCUGUGGCUUACAGCAUAAUUUUAAAAGUUACUGAAAAGUGGAGGAGUUAAAAAUAUUUUUGGCAUAAGAUAAAUGAUGAAAUAAUCCAUAUUUACAUGAGAGUAAGGGUGAUAUAAGUAUUUGCAUAGUGUAUUUUUUAACAUUACAUUGAAUUUUCAGUAAAAUAGAGAAUAUUUAUUCUUGUACAUAAAUAAAGAAAUAAUCUCAAUUCUGAUACUUUUGUAAGAGUGAAAAAUGCCAGGUAUUUCACUGUACUGUGUAUCUGAUGCAUCUAUACUGAACAGUAAAACAACUUUACAGCGCCACCUUUGAGAGUCUCGUGUCUGAGAGUCUGUCUCUCUCAUGUGAGAGUCAUGAUCUCAGAUGUCCUUAUGAUGAAAGGGACUGAAUAAAAGAAAAGGACUCCAUAAAUCACAUUUCACUACUGAAAUGUUUCAUUUGUGUCAGCAGAUCAUAUGGGUCUUCCUGGCCUGGGACUUAUCAUAUGAGAGGCAGAAGAGUGAUUUGGAGAUGAACCUCUGGUACCAAGGGAUUGCCAUGCACCAGAAAAAGAAAGGUCUUUGACCAUGCUCCUCCGAUCUGUGAAGAAAGUCUGGCUGCUCCUCAGGAGCACCUCACAGAGACCCCUCUCUGAGAACAAGCAGUUUUUUCAUGCCUUUCUACACUGAGUCCACUGCAUUUUUUCAGUCUUCUCUCUUCUUGGAAGGAAUGCACAAAGGAGGAAAAAACUAGUGGACAGUGCACUAGCCAUCUUGAAUGUGUAGUGCAAAAUCCCCUGUUUCUCAUAACAAACAAAGAAUGCAAGCUGCUAUUAACCUGAAUAUAAGCAAAUGUUUCUGAGAUAGUUGUUAUUAGAAUCUUUCAUGGUUUGUAUGUGUUUCCUGAUGUGCUGGAGCCAGACAAAAAUUCUAUAUAUGCAUUUAAAAGCUCCCAUAUAAAGCUUGUUGGUAUAAAAUGAAGAGAUGUCUUGCUAAUUUUCAUUACUUUCUUUUUAAGUAUUUGAAAUGGGAGCAUAUACUUCCUUAAUUAUUACAGAUGAAGCUUCUAUUCAUUAAGCAUAAUAUUAAUAUUUUCCUUUUCUUUUCACUCAUUACUUCCUCUCAAAUAUUUGCCACCUUGAAAUUUUGUUCAAGUUAUACACUUUAAAAUUACAAGCAAUUUUUUGUGUACUUAAUGUUCCAUAUUAAGCAAGUGGAAUUUAAAUUCUCGUUUCCUUGAUGUUCUGUUUUAUGUUAAACAAAUUGAGGAUUAUGCAUUGAUGGUAUAAAUAUACAUAUAAUCACUUCUUUAAUUAUGCGUAUGAUUGCUGCCUAACUUCGUAAUAUGUUCCUACAGUUACUGCAGAACUAAAAUAUUUUAAUUUUCAAACUGUUUUUCAAAAUGUUAAUUUGCUUUCAUUUCAGGGCUUUCUAUUAAAUGUAUUUAAGAAAAGAUCUACAAUGGCCUUGAUAUUGAUUUAUCUGCAUAUUAAUUGAUUUAUGUUUCUGUUUUCUUUAACAUUUUUUUAAUGACAAUUUUUCACCUCUUCAAAGGAUGGAAAUGUAAUCUAGAAAUAGUAUUUAAUAUAUCUUCUGUUCUGUAAAUACUGGAAGAGGGAACUUGCUGUGUCAUAAUGAUUAUUUCUCUGUACCACACUUAAAAUAUUUAUUAUUUAAUAUUUAAUAUUUAAUAUGAAAAAAUACUUGCUACAAAAGCAUCUUCAGAUUUUUCAAACCUGACAAAGGAGAUCACUCAAGAGUACUUGUUCCCUGUCCCAUUUGUUUGCCAGUUCUGAACUGAAUGAGAUGUUUUUCAACCAGGAAAACUGAAGGCAGCCAAUAAAUUGUGGCAACGCAUGUUUGAAGUUUCUGUGCAGAAGGGACCAUGCCUUCUGCAUGAGAAGGACCACACCUUCAUAGAGCAGCCCCAAGCCCCUCGUUGGAGGCAUCCGGAGCUGGGGGCAGGUGCAGCUGGGCCACCCUGGGAGUGCCAGUUCCUUUGGCUCUCAGCAGUGGAGGGCUUCUGACCCUCCUGCUACAAGGGACUGAACGCUACAGAGAGUAAGUAGGUCCUGCAGCAGAAGGCUCCAUGAUGGAGCUUGAACUGUGGUGUCUCAGUGGAUGCGGUGAAACUUAAUUGAUCGCAUCUCAGCUGAGGAGUGCUGGACAAUAAAUUGUAGCCUGUGAAGACUAGCAGGCGCUAAGCUGAAGGGUACUGUUAGUCCCAAAAGAAAGAGCUGUCAGCUGGGUAGGUAGAACCACAUCCUUCUUGGCUUGUUCUCCCUCUGAAAGGUGGCCAGCUGCCAGCUAGGUGGCUGGGAAUGCAGUGGGGAGAGAUGGCUGAGCCGACUUGCCUGCUUGCUGUUGCUGAAAGGCCAGCACUGUGUACCCACUUCUCUGGGCUGUGCAUUUCCCCUGCUUCUUUGUUGCUUGCUGCUUCUCUGACCUCUCUCUGAGCCAAUUCAGUUCAUUAAACCAUGGGUAAACUAACGCAACCAAUAGAGGAAAUAGCUUUUGGUCGAAAUAAUGAGUCUGUUUGCUGAGGGGUCAGAUACAUGCCAGAGAUGGAAUGCAAGGCAGAGGAGAAUGGGACUGCUCCUUUUGGCAUCAGAAAGCUGUUAAGCCUGCUCAGUUGUUCCUGGAGCACACACCUCCAACCACAGCCUGACAAUGCAGAUAGGGCCAAUGAAAAGGCUAACCCCUGCUGAAAGGGAUGUUCCCACUUCCUUCCUCUCCAGCCUGGCUUUGUGCUUCUCCUGGCACUAAUGCUUGUUUAAUCCUACCACCAGCUAGUCUGGGGAGGAGAUUACUUCAUUCUUUUGUUUGUUGGGGUGGCUUUCUAACCUACUUGCUGAGGGGUCAGAUGGUGGUAGGAGUGAGGUGGGAGUGCAUGGCUGGACUUCCUCUUAGCGUCCCAGUUGGCCUUUGAACCGCUUUAACUGCUUUGUUAGGCUGUGAUCUGCAGUUCUGCUGGCUAAUUAUUGAGAGUAGCUAAACCCCAGAGUAAGAUGAAAGCAAAGUGUGCAGGCCUGUAGGCUCAGAGAACUGUUUGUCUGUAGGUUGCUGACGACCAUUGAUGACUUGGAUGGUCCUCCAGCCAGGUUGAGGAGUUUCAAAUGAAAAAAAUCUGUAAGCUGGGUGACUGAAAGCUGGUAGAAGGAGGUCAUGCAGCUGAAAUGACAGCUGCUGUAAUGGAUGAGUGGCUUCAUGCCCAGCAGCUGUUAUGUGGUAGCAA